CUCCAUGCCUGCUUAAGACGGUGUAUUUUUUCCGACGACAGAUUAUUAUAAUAAGUGUUGAUAAAGUUCACAAGCUGAUGAUAAGUGAGGUGAGAAUAACUUGUAUCCUUUUCAUCUUUUAUAAACGCACGCAAAAUGCUAUCAUUAUCAAUAUCAUGGAAUAUUGAUACAUCAGAAUUAGAAGGCAUGCUCAGCUGCUCAGCUGUAGUUAUAAGAUCAUUCUGCUCAAUUAAAUUAAAAAUUAGUUUCAAUAUUCUAUCCUGAUUCAGUCAUUUGUUUAUUCACUACUAUAUCUUUUUCUUGAUAUUUUAAACAUGCAUA
rnacentral:sRNA from 2 species